rnacentral:rRNA from 1 species
ACUGCUAUCGGAUUGAUACUAAGCCAUGCGAGUCUUUGUAGUAAUACAAGGCAUACGGCUCAGUAACACGUAGUCAACCUACCCUAUGGACGAGAAUAAUCUCGGGAAACUGAGCAUAAUUCUUGAUAGAUCAUAAUGCCUGGAAUGGUUUAUGAUUAAAAUGAUUCGUCGCCAUAGGAUGGGACUGCGGCCUAUCAGCUUGUUGGUGAGGUAAUGGCCCACCAAGGCGAUUACAGGUACGGGCUCUGAGAGGAGAAGCCCGGAGAUGGGUACUGAGACACGGACCCAGGCCCUAUGGGGCGCAGCAGGCGAGAAAACUUUGCAAUGUGCGAAAGCACGACAAGGUUAAUCCGAGUGUUUUCUGCUAAAGAAAUCUUUUGCUAGUCGUAAAACCACUGGUGAAUAAGGGGUGGGCAAGUUCUGGUGUCAGCCGCCGCGGUAAAACCAGCACCUCAAGUGGUCAGGAUGAUUAUUGGGCCUAAAGCAUCCGUAGCCGGCUUUGUUAGUUUUCGGUUAAAUCCAUGUGCUCAACGCAUGGGCUGCCGAAAAUACUGCAUAGCUAGGGAGUGGGAGAGGUAGACGGUACUCAGUAGGAAGGGGUAAAAUCCUUUGAUCUAUUGAUGACCACCUGUGGCGAAGGCGGUCUACCAGAACACGUUCGACGGUGAGGGAUGAAAGCUGGGGGAGCAAACCGGAUUAGAUACCCGGGUAGUCCCAGCUGUAAACGAUGCAGACUCGAUGAUGCAUUGGCAUAAUAGCCAGUGCAGUGUCGCAGGGAAGCCGUUAAGUCUGCCGCCUGGGAAGUACGUACGCAAGUAUGAAACUUAAAGGAAUUGGCGGGGGAGCACCACAAGGGGUGAAGCCUGCGGUUCAAU